rnacentral:rRNA from 1 species
AUGUGCCUGUAUGUUGAUUAUGAUAUGAAGCUGCCAUCUGGGAUUGGCAACCUGACUUCCCUAGAAGUGCUAGAUAACCUGGGGUUAUCUGACGCGGACCUUGAUUUUGUGAAAGAAUUGGGCCAUCUGACCAAGCUCAGGGUGCUUGGGAUUGACUGUAGUGAUUUUGAUGAGAGCCUGGGUAAAGCUUUGGAGGAAUCCAUUAGUAAUAUAUACAAACUGGAAAGUCUAGAUGUAUAUGUCAGUCAUGGACACAUCAAUUGCCUGAGAGAUGAUUGGGUGCCUCCUCCACAACUCCGUAGAUUGGCUUUCCCGUCAAUUGGAAGUUGGUUCAAGACAUUGCCGUCAUGGAUUAAUCCUUCAUCGCUUCCUCUCCUCUCCUAUCUGGAAAUAACGCUGUUUGAAGUGCGAUCGGAGGUCAUCCAACUUCUAGGGACUCUGCCUGCUCUUGUUUUUCUUGAGAUACGGGAUUAUUCCAUGGACAAUGAAGCGCAUGAGGUGGAAGCGCCCGUCCUUUCCUCUGGUGCUGCGUUAUUCCCAUGUGCGACGGAGUGCCGCUUCAUUGGUAUUGGUGCCGUGCCGUCUAUGUUUCCACAAGGAGCUGCGCCAAGGCUUAAACGCCUUGGGUUCGCCUUACCAGCCAAGUGGAUCUCCCGUGAAAACUUUGAUUUGGGCAUGCGGCACCUCCCUUCCCUCCAGCGAGUCAACGUUGAAUUUAUCAGGAAGGGAACUAGCCAUCAGGAGAUGGAAGAAGCCAAGGCAGCGCUGAGGGCCGCAGCGGAGGACCACCCCAACCGUCCCGUCCUUAAGAUAUGGUCCCGCCCUUAA